ensembl:rRNA 5S_rRNA 5S ribosomal RNA
GCUUACGGCCAUACCACCUUAGGCACGCCCGAUCUCGUCUGAUCUCGGAAGCUAAGCAGGGUCUGGCCUGGUUAGUACUUGGAUGGGUGACCGCCUGGGAAUACCAGGUGCUGUAAGCA